rnacentral:rRNA from 1 species
UCUUGACAUCCAGAGAACUUUCCAGAGAUGGAUUGGUGCCUUCGGGAACUCUGAGACAGGUGCUGCAUGGCUGUCGUCAGCUCGUGUUGUGAAAUGUUGGUUAAGUCCGCAACGAGCGCAACCCCUAUCCUUUAUUGCCAGCGAUUCGGUCGGGAACUCAAAGGAGACUGCCGGUGAUAAACCGGAGGAAGGUGGGGAUGACGUCAAGUCAUCAUGGCCCUUACGAGUAGGGCUACACACGUGCUACAAUGGCGUAUACAAAGAGAAGCAACCUCGCGAGAGCAAGCGGACCUCAUAAAGUACGUCGUAGUCCGGAUUGGAGUCUGCAACUCGACUCCAUGAAGUCGGAAUCGCUAGUAAUCGUAGAUCAGAAUGCUACGGUGAAUACGUUCCCGGGCCUUGUACACACCGCCCGUCACACCAUGGGAGUGGGUUGCAAAAGAAGUAGAUAGCUUAACCUUCGGGAGGGCGUUUACCACUUUGUGAUUCAUGACUGGGGUGAAGUCGUAACAAGGUAGGCGUAGCGAG